UAAUAAGUGUUUUAUGGCACCUUUUAAAUCCAUAUCCACCUUGUGUGCAAUGUCAGUCGAUCUUCUUCAUGGAGAUCGACCAAACAUCAACCUUUAUCUUUUAACUCUUUGUCUGAAAAAUAUUAUGAAUAAACAAUUCAAAAUA
rnacentral:misc_RNA from 1 species